GCGCAUCUGGUGUAGUGGUAUCA
rnacentral:siRNA from 1 species